rnacentral:lncRNA from 1 species
UUAUUUCUCUCAAGCUUUCCACAGCCUCACACCAUCUUAACAGAGACGCACACAGUAGGCCUACAGCCUUGGCAAACUGGCAAACGAAUUGGCCCGCGAAUUGGCGCACGCAGCAUAAUUUUACAUGAAAGAACAAGUCUAGCUGAACCCGACCAGCCGAGAGAUUUGAGAGUCUGUUCCGGCCUGUUCCAAUUCCAUUUCUGAAUGCCUUAUAAAAUGGAAACUGCCUCUUAAUCCACUGGGAUCGGUGUACGACACUUUACGCCGAAUAUACCAUACAGAUGAUGGCUUGUCAUGAUCACGAUCCCGUCAGGACCUUAGGUUGUAGGAUAGGACCUUAUGAUUGACCAGGAUAGGACCUUAUGAUUGACCAGGAUAGGACCUUAUGUUGGUACAACGGACGCUAUGACAUCCGCUCGUACCUAAAGAGUUUGCUUCCUCUCGGUAAAUCCGGUACACAAAAUGAAGUGUCGCUUAUGAACACUAGAUGGCGAUUGAUGUUGUUGAUCUCUUCAUGGCGAACGAAUGUCAAAAGUUAUGAUUUGUCCUAGCUGUGUUCGAGUUUUCGUUGCUGUUGCAGAUAUUGAGUGUAUGUUCUGCUGCUUCAGCAGGCCAUAUUUGUGGAUUAUACCAGUUUUCACAACAAGUUUCUACAUGUCUGCAUGCAACCAACUUCCAGCAGCAGCGGCUGUUGAAAUGGAGCUAGUGCAGACUUACAGUUCCACAUUUGCCUAUGUUGGUGUCCAUGCAGUGUUGAACAGUUGGGCAAAAUAGCAGAUGUUGCAUGAUGACUGUCAGGCAUAUUUUAUCGGCUGAAUGUUGUCGUCUCUUGCUAGCUACAUGUACCGGCGUUGAGUUCAAUAGUUCACCGCCGUUUCAUUGACGUGAAACUGAGGAGAGGUUGCUGAACUUCAAACAUUGACAUUCAAAUCAAUCAUGCGCUUUUCAAGUUUUAGUCGAGGAAACGUGAAAGUGGUGCAGCCCAUACCAUCAACUAUUUUGUUCAAAAUCACUGUAUUCUGCUGAAUGUUCCAUCGGAAUUAUACAGGAUUCAUCACAAUUGUCUGCUGUUUGUAUUGGACUUGCUCGUUCACCAACCCUGGCAUGUACCAAGCUCUCAUUCCAUCUUCUAGAAUAGUUUGGAUAACUGAUCAUCACUGAUCAGUGGUUUCAUGUAGGCAAUUUCGUUGUAAUACUGACAACUAUUUAAUGAGAACAACAACAACUACUGACCGGAAGACGUCCAUCCAGGAGUCCAUCCGGUUUUGGCAAUUGGAACGACGGACUGGCAAAGACCCACCCCGAGAUGAUCGUUGCCUUGAGCACUCCGCCCAACACCAACUUUAUCCCUGCCAUUGGGCGUCUUAUUCCUCACGUCGGAGCGGCUCCGUUCCUCACGCCGUCUGCCCCCACGUCAUCUUCUCUCUGCAGCCCAUCGCUGCAGUUAACCGCAACAAGUUCCUUUCUGCUGUUCUCCGCCUGAUCCUCAAUGCCACUGAGACCACCGAGAUCCGUAUCGCCGCCGUCUCCACCAUGUUCCACGAGUUGAAAUAAACAUAGUUUUGAUUGUUUGCUGACCUAGAAACUCAUUUUGACGCGACAAAAGAUAGCUGCUGAAUAGAAGCUACAUCAAGAUUCAAGCUACACGCAAGCCCUUCCAAUUGAUCAACCACGUUUGGAUUUUAAGUUUAAUUUAUUUAGCACAUUUUUAAAUUUCGUUAAAUAAUUUUUAUUUUUUAAAUUAAGACGAUUAAGACUUAAAGAAAAUAGUAUAAAAUUUGAGAUAAAAUUGAUUGAAAUAUUUAUUAGAUCAAGAUUCCAAUUUUUCAUGUUGUUACGGCUUACUUUAUUCAUCAGACUUGGUCAAAUAUUUGUUUUUAUUUGUUUGUC